GCCUUCAUGGUGUAAGUGGAAGUACAUCCGGCUGACAAUCGGAAGGUCCGGAGUUCGAUUCUCUGCGAAGGCA